rnacentral:misc_RNA from 1 species
ACAGGGGUGUAAUUGAGCUUUAAGUCAAUUUACCCUUAUAUUUACUAAACAAAAUAACUAUUUGUAUAAUUUUCUAAAAGCUAUUUAUUAUCUCUCAUUUUCUCUCUUAAUUAGAUAAAAUAAAGGGUAAUUUUAUCAAAUUAAGAAGUAUUUUGUUUUAAUUUAGGUGAUUUAAUUGCUUUUUUAAUUACGGUGCAAAAACUUUAAAUGACAUAUAGAAGUGUUAAAUGUCAUUUAAGAUUUUUGUACGGUAAUUAAGGAAGCAAUUAAAUCACCUAGAUUAUAAUAAACUUCUCCUCAAUUUGACUAAAUUAUCAUUUGUCUCAUCUAAUUAAGAAAGAAGGAGAUGAUAAGAUGGGUUUUAGGAAAUUAUAAAAAUAGUUAUUAUAUUUAAUAGAGAUAAUAGUAAAAUUGGAAAAAAAUUAAUUGAUACAUGAUAUAUAAUUUUAGACAUAACAACUUUUAAAAAUGACAGAUAAAAGUGGACGGAGAGAGUACUUGACUAUUUUUUACGCCUUUUUUUUUGUCAUUGUGAUGAAGACUGACCAUUUUGACUUUUAGAUAAGAUACAUGGCCUCCAGCAUGAUUAGCAUUAAGGUUUUGAGUUUAAGGUGCCAUUGGUUUUAGUUAAUUUGAGAUUCUAAUGAUUUUGGUUGAAAUAAUUGAACAAGAAUUGAUGAGUCUUAUGGGUAUCAUUGCUAUCAUUUUUAUCAUCUGGUAAAUCACAGAUGUGGGUUUUACACUUUUACUCAUUGAUAUUAUUGCUACAAUUCAAAAUUUGUUUUAAAAUUUUUAAAAUAUAAUUAGUGUAAGAUUUUACUGUUUUCAAUGAAUAAUAACUUUCCAAGAAAUACAAGGACUUAUUACUGUCUCAUUUCUUUGAGUUUUGCAGCUUCUGGGAGCUAUUAUAUUCUGAGAAGAUUUUACGCUUGAUGUUUAUCUAUUCAAAUUAUUUGUUUUGAGUUUUGAGAAGCAUAACUAGCAAUGGUUUAGUUUUUUUUUUUCUUAAAUAUUUUUUUAUGCCUGUAAUGUUCAGUUGAAAAUAAAGAAACAAUGAGAUUUCACUUUAUUUUCAAAAUUGUAUUUCUUGAUUCUGAGAUUGUCAUUUUGCAAUCAAAGGAGUUUGAAGGAGUCAGAUGUUGAUGGUUUUGUUGAUGAUGUGCUUGUGAGUGGAAGGCCAUGGGCUUGUGGGGUGCAGGAGAAGCUUACUGGUUCAUAUGUCUUUGUGUGUGCUCAUGGUAGUCGUGAUAAGAGAUGUGGUGUUUGUGGACCUCUUCUUAUUGAAAAUCUCAAAGAGGGAAUUGAAUCUCGAGGACUGGGGGAUCAGGUGUUUGUUAGUGCCUGCUCUCAUGUUGGGGGGCACAAGUAUGCUGGGAACUUGAUUGUCUACAGUCCAGACUUGGAGGGAAAAAUUAUGGGCCACUGGUAUGGCUAUGUUACGCCUGAUGAUGUGCCUGAAAUUCUGGAUCAGCAUAUUGGGCAAGGAGCAGUGAUAGAACGUAUUUGGAGGGGCCAAAUGGGUGCACCUACUGAAGAAGGUGAAAAGUUGGCUGAGCAAAAGCUUCCAAAUGGGCAAGAUGUGAAGGAAAGAAAGAAACACGAAGAAAGCAACAGCGAGGUCACUAACGAGAAUGUUGGUGGCUGUUGCCAGGGUACUAAUGGGUUUUCAUGCUGCAGAGAUGGAAGUUUGGGAUUAGAUGAAGAAAAGAAACCGGAGGAAAACAUCAAAGUUCAUGGAAAGAAGGGAUUAGGUAAACUGUCAAGCUGGAUAGCAUCAUUGGAGCAAAGUGAUGUUCUUGCAACGGUUGCUGUGAUUGGAGCAGUAGCAACUGUUGCAGUGGCUUAUAGCAUGUAUAAAAGGUCGGGCUGAAAUAUGCCUUGUAUUCCAUGCAUUAGUAUUCGUCUGUGGGUUAACAUACCCUUGCUUUUUGUAGGCAGGUAUACUAUUACUGAAAAUAAUCCUCCAAACCACAAUUUCAAGGGAGAAUUGACACAUAUUUGUUUUUGUUGUAAGGGUGGAAAUGUAUGGCCAAAAUUUUAGCAGGCAGAGCGAAAUGGGACCGCACUUCUUUUCAUUGCUUGAUUUCUACACAAAUUAUUUUGUUUUAGUAGAAUGAUAUAUACGACGUUUGGGGAAU